rnacentral:rRNA from 1 species
CGGGAACGUACCCUUUGGUUCGGAACAACCCAGGGAAACUUGGGCUAAUACCGGAUAAGUCCGUAAGGAGAAAGAUUUAUCGCCAAAGGAUCGGCCCGCGUCUGAUUAGCUAGUUGGUAGGGUAAUGGCCUACCAAGGCUACGAUCAGUAGCUGGUCUGAGAGGAUGAUCAGCCACAUUGGGACUGAGACACGGCCCAAACUCCUACGGGAGGCAG